rnacentral:lncRNA from 1 species
UGCUCAUAUUAAGUCCCAGAAAGACAAAGUCUUUGAUACGCUUAAAGCGUAUAGACAAAUACAUGAUUCCAUGUAGAUUUGGACAUAUAGUUCAAAUACUUGAAAGUAUAAAGUCAAAAUUGCUUGAAGCAUACACAAUUCUUGGUCCUGAAGUACCACAUCCUAAGUUUAAUUUGUGUACAUAUGUAUCUUGCUAUAACUAUAAGCAUGAUGGCAUUGAGAAUACAUCUAU